CAGUCGCCGCGGUAAUACGUAGGUGGCAAGCGUUGUCCGGAAUUAUUGGGCGUAAAGCGCGCGCAGGUGGUUCCUUAAGUCUGAUGUGAAAGCCCACGGCUCAACCGUGGAGGGUCAUUGGAAACUGGGGGACUUGAGUGCAGAAGAGGAAAGUGGAAUUCCAAGUGUAGCGGUGAAAUGCGUAGAUAUUUGGAGGAACACCAGUGGCGAAGGCGACUUUUUGGUCUGUAACUGACACUGAGGCGCGAAAGCGUGGGGAGCAAACAGGAUUAGAUACCCCUGUAGUCCCUGUCUCUUAUAC
rnacentral:rRNA from 1 species